GUGUCUAAAAGUGUUAAACUAAUAUCUAAAUGCUGCACAGGGGUUACAGAAAAUAAUAGCAUAUGCCUCCAAUGGACGUUAAGUGAUCUACUCCAGCCCAGUUUUACUGUAGCUGCAUGAACCUUGGAGCUGUAGGCUGCAGCUUCCUUACUUUGGGCAAGAUAAGAAAGAACGGGUUUUUUUUUUUUUUUUUUUUUUUCAGAAGAAGAAACUGGCAUUUGCUGAUAAGAAUUAUUCUUUUUCUAACUCUUGAAUUUGUAUGUAGGGCCAGGUAAAAUGAAUUACGUAUAAUGAACAAGGGCAGCUACAAGUGAAUAUCAGAGGGACCAGAGAAAACAGCAUGUAUAUCUGCUCCAAGCUUUUUGCAUUGGUGGAGAGCCACUAACACACAGAGCAGAAAUAGUACAUGAAGGCUCGUGACUUGUUCUAUGUUCUCAUUAGCUUCAGCUGUUUAGUAAAUAGACUGUUCUUAGCCUGGCAAGUGGAUUUUUUUUUUUUUUUUUUUUGCACUCAUUUAUCUUGAGCCAAGUAGUAGAUAGCAAUCUAUCUUGAAGACAGUCAGUUCUAGAUGCACUGCAGAAAGACAGAGGGAAUUCCUUUCUUCUUGGCAGUAGGUUUUAUGAAAGUGCAUAGACUGAACACGUCUGACUAUGUGCCAUGCUGGCAUAAGUAAAGGAUAGAAUGGCUGAAGUUUCUCCAAGCAUUACCUGCAGUCAUAUUUGAAAUUAUUUUGUCCAAGUUGCUUUUCAUUUAAUUCUCAUCAUAUACUGUGAUACCUGUAUGACUGUGGACGUACAUCAGCACGUCUUUGGCUUAUUGUUUAUAGCUGAUUUAUCCAGAAUCUGCAUGUAUGUUUUGUGGAGGCAUCCUUAGCCACGUAGGACUGUGUGACGGUGCUCUAAAGAGACUACAAGGAGCUGCCUCCAUGGAAUUCAGAUGUAAAGUAAGACAGUUCAUUAUGUUUCAAGUGAUUUUUGCUAAAACAUAGAAUUAAAUGUAAGCAUGAGUUGAAUUUAAGCACCGUAACAUUCCAAAAGCAGUGGGUUUUCUUUGUUGGAUGCUCCCUACCCCAAUCAUGUCCUGUAAGUUUCUGUGAAAUACUUCACACAUACUGAGUGCCCUUUUAAAUUAAUAAUCCCCUUAAGAUGAUAAACAGAAAAUUCCUCUUUCUAUUCAUCAGAGACUUGCUCAUCUUUCCAGUGGAGACUACAGUAUGAAUACAAGUUACCCUACAGAUUUUUGUAACAAGUGUCAACUUAAACCAGUUUUACUACUAGCUUCAGUAUUUGUUUUUAGUAAGCAAAGUAUUUAUUGAAACAUUACCUUGUGUAUAAUGACCUAAUGCACAGAUUUCUCCCUUCCCAAAUUUCCAUUCUUUCUACUGAAGUCUAAACUGCAGUAAUUAUUUUAGCUGUAAGACAGCCACGUGUAUGAUCUAUAAAUAUUUCUAUUACAAACCAUUUGCUGCUUCUAUUAAAAUAUACUUAGUGUUUAAUAAAACCUUCUAUUUCUCUGCAGCUUUUCUGGCACAAGACUUAAAGGGCAUAAAACUUGCCUGUUUGUGAAAUUAUGUACACUUACCCACACUGAGAACAUUUAGAUAGUUGGUUUCUACUGAGCUUUGUUAUCCCACAUAUGUUCUUCUGCUGGAGCCUUUCAUGUCAGAAAACCUUUGAAGAGUGGGAGUAGCUCUUUAAAUUUAUCUGGAAGCAGUGGGGUUUCUUUUACAAUUGGCUGUUGCUGCUCACGUCGUUUUAUUUCAAGGUAGUAAAUGCUAUGAAUGUCAGAUUUUCAUGAAAAGAGACGUACCAUAUACUCUACCGAAGACCAUAUUUUUUCUGUCGAGAUCAUCUCCUCCUUGUGAAUCAGAACGGGAAAGCAAAGAAGCUCUUGGAAGCUCAAGGAAGAACAUCUUGCCCUUAGUUUCUUGAAAAGGUAUUUGUUCGUUCCAAAGACAUGCACGUGAACUCCUCAGGUCUGUUGCAUUUUGUUUGUUUUCCCACUUAUUAUUUCUGAUCACUCCUCUCAAAAUGCUCUGAACUGAGCUCUCCAGGAUGUAAGCAGUGAUGCUGGAGGAGUGCCCUCACAUAAGGACUGAAAAGGACAGUGAAAUCACUUGAAGCCACAGAGCAGCUAAAGUUCGAGAGAUUAUUUAGAGGUACUGUUCUUGGGGAUAUUAAAUGCUCAAAAUAGAACAUAAAACAUUUUUUUCAUAUUUCUAGUCGGAACAACUGUUCCCUGAAAUAAUGAUAUAUAUAUAUAUCAUGGUGAAGCACAGUACAGCAGUUACAGAAUCAGCUCUCGGAGCACCACGAAGACAGAGUACAGUUACAAGCAUUAGAGGCUGGCAUGUUAACCACCCCACGAGAAUGCAGCACAAGCUACAGCAAUCAAACAGAACACAAGGCACAUACUUUAGCUCUCAGCUGCUUCACCAAACCAGCACGGCUGCUUUCAGCCGCAAAGCCAAGUGGCUGUAUGGCAUGGCACAGCACGCAGCACUCCCAAGCCUCCCAUUAGGAUAAACACACUCCCACGGAGCACACAUGCAAAACACAGCACUCCCAAGCCUCUCUCCAACUUCUGUUUAAAUCUUCCCUGCUACUUUAUGAUUGCUUAUUAAAUGUUGCAUUUCAUAAGCAGGAUGAUCGCAGUAUCUGUCAUCCUGCCCUUGAUCUGUAUUAGUCCCACAUUGUUCAUGAGGGGCUGCCAUGCAAUUGCUAAGGUAGGUUCCCCCCAGGGUUGCUAACUGUGCCAGGGCCAGGCCUUGCUUAACAGGUUCUGUAAGAGAGCAACAUGAAGAUGCAAGCAAGUGAAACUACUUUUUACAUUCCCUCUAAAUUAGCAUGUUAAUAUGUUGGAUGCUGUGCUUUGCAUUUUCCCUCCUGCAAGUCUUUGCAGAUUAUAGAAAGCAGUAGUUAAUCUUUCAAAAGAGCAAAAAAAUAUUCUUCCCAAUUCCUUAUGUGCUUGUUUCAUCCUACAGAGUUAAAUUGGAAUUUAACAACAUUAAUAUCCUUACAACAGAAAUCCAUAGCAUAGCAACUAAACAACAUUUAAUCCUUCAUUUGGUUCUUUAGGUUUCUUUUGCAAUUUCUACAGCUGUCCUUCCUGCAAUUUUUCCUGUGAGAUGCCAAGAAUAAUAUUCCCCAUACAAUCUGCUGUUUUAAUUGUUGAGAAUCUCACUGCCAUUUUGAAUUAAAUACAUAAACAUGCUAAAACAUAAGGUUCUUACCUUGCUGAUCUUAACAGCCUUCCCUUAGAAGGACAGCUGCUUCUCCUUCCCCUGCCUGGUGGACCCCUUACACCACCUCCCUUACCUCUCAGAUUUCUGAUGUUAGUUGAGCUGCUGGUAACAGCAACAAUACUAGGAACACGGGAGAAUGAGAGAGUGAAGGGCAGUUACUGAGGGUGAUAUUAGAAUGAUACUGGCUGAGGAUUCAGUUGUUCUGCUGUGAAUAUUCUGUGGGUGCAGAGGUGCUGCAGACAAAAAAGCUGGACAACCUCCAGCCACAAGGGUUCGCACAUUCAGAGGGAGACAUUGAAGAAAACUCACUCAACAGACUGUGUUACUCUUAUCCUCAUGGCUUGCUUUCUCCCAUUGCCCAUGACAGAAUAAACAGCCGCCCCACUGAGCUGAAGAAUGCACAGACGCAUUAUGGGGCUGGGGGUAUCAGCCUGUGAUACAGAGGGGAAACAAGAGGAAGACAGAACAUGGAGCUGGCAUCUAAACAUCCUGUACCUUACCUUGUGACUCACUGAAAGUUGCCUUGAUCUCUGUUGCAGAAGCUGCUUCCAAGGAUGAAACCCUCUGAUUUAGAAGGGAAAUUCAGAAGGAUUUUUAAUAGUGAAGAAAACAGGAAGGGAUGACAUGGGAGGUAAUUGAUAUCACACAUUGAUCAAGGAACAUCUGAAACUGUAGAAAGGCUAACAGAAGUAUUUGGCUAAAUCUAAGAUAGUCCAAAAGAUGACUACACUGUAAAGUCAGUCCAUCGUACUACUAAUGUAACGAAUCCUGUGUCACAGAGCUGUUUUUCCCAUUCUAAUAUGCAUUAAAUACAAAAUCCAUUGAUCAGUACUGUUAGUAGUGACUCCUGCUUGACUGACAAGUAACACUGUGUUACUGGAGCGCCUCUUCCAUACAACCUUUUAAGUCAAAUGUUCUCUAGUUAUGGAUGUUCAGUUCUUGGUGUACAACAGGUUCUAGCUGACUUCCACUGAAUUCAUCAUCUACCAGUAAUUCUGCUCUUUAAAAAUAAAUCAGAUUCUUUCCUUUCCACAUACCCAAUCUUUGCAUUACUAUUUCACUCGUACACAUUCCCUCCAUGCUCUGUUGGCAGAUGGACUUCGUCUUUUUCACUGAAUAUUGACAAAGGGCUGAAUUUCCUCACAAGACUGGUAAUGAGUACAGUAUGUGAAGUAAAUGCAAUAAAAUACCAAGUUUUAUAAAAGCACAUGUAGUCUGGCAAGUGCUGGUUUCUCUUCAGCGCCUGUUUCCUAUCAUGAAUUUUGACUGUGUGAGCCAGAAAUGCACGCAGAUCUUCCUGCCUCUUCUGAAGUUUAUACACUGGGACUGAAUGAAUGCCCAUUUCUUCAUAUUGUUCAUCCAGUAAUCCACCUUCAGCAAUAAACUAACGUACAGGUAUGAGUUGCUGGUGACAAAACUAUAAAGUUGCAGAAUAUAGCUAGUUGGUGUAGAACCAAAUAAAACGGCAGUGUCCUUUUCACUGAAUGCAAACUCUGGGUUUUCACCCUUGUUAAAAAAUGGAUUUGUAGUAAAACAAAAAAUUCUUGCCCCCUCUCCUCCCCUAAAAGAAGAAAACCACCACAAAUAUUGACUUUGAGCGAAAGAAAUAACUGGUAUCAGUAAUAAUAUUGUCAGGGGCUGAGACAGCUUCUUAUGAAGGAAGUUCAUGCUUAGUUCUGACAAUUGAGCAAAAAAUUAAUCAAUCAGUUUGCAUUCAUAGGGCUCCAUUUCAAUUCUUUCUCGAAUGAUUUGCUUUAUAAAAAUUGAAACAACUGACUUUGCUUGUUAAGCAAAACAUCAAAUAAUGCAGAUUUGGCAUUUGUUUCUCAGCAUUAACGCAAUCUUACAUUUUUCUGUCCUCAGGUAUGAAACUUAAAUCACAGCCCCCGACGCUUCCUGUUGGUACUGCUAUAUCCACUGCAGGGUUUUUGUGGAAUUCCAGUUUGUUAUUUCAAUAUUUUUCUUUUGCCCAUUUCCUUUGAAACCAUCUUUGCAAACGGAAACCAUAAGUAUACUUCGGCAGGAGCUCCUUACUUUAACAACAGAACAAAAAAAGCCACCUGAAUCAGAAACAGUUUUCUGACACAAGGGAAAUGCAGAGGGAAGAGGUUGCAACCUCUUUCCAUUCUGUACUUUGCUGCUCUUUCCGUCAGCUCUAAGAGCCUGCUAUCAACUGUUCCACCUACCUUACUAAGAUAUUGCUUAAACACUGUUCUUGGGUGUCUUCAUUUUCUUACAUCUGCUGCUUUCCUUGUAACUGUUGCACAAGGGAGUCUGUAUAUUGUUAUCUGAAGUGUGUAUCUGAAAUAAGUCUGCUAUUUCCUCCCGAUUGUGGCAAUUAAGCUGUUAGCCGAUCGUCUGGAGGGGAAAGUAUGUUCCCCUGGGGCUGCAAGGACACAGGAGAUGUACAUUACAUUACCACAAUUCUAAAGAUAUGAAAUAGCACACAGGAUUGUGCAGUAAAAGGAACAAAUUAACAAGAACACGCUUUGAAAUACUACACUCAAUAUAGAAUCAUAGAAUCACAGAAUGGCCUGAGUUGAAAAGGACCACAAUGAUCAUCGAGUUUCAACUCCCCUGCUAUGUGCAGGGCCGCCAACCACCAGACCAGGCUGCCCAGAGCCACAUCCAGCCCGGCCAUGAAUGCCUACAGGCUUGGG
ensembl:lncRNA